GUGAGGACUCGGGAGGUGGAGGGUGGACUUGUCAGGGCCGGGGCGCUGUCUCAUCUCGCUUUUCCCCCCACCUCCUCUCUCCUCAG
rnacentral:pre_miRNA from 1 species